CAGUCGCCACGGUAAUACGUAGGUGGCAAGCGUUGUCCGGAAUUAUUGGGCGUAAAGGGCUCGCAGGCGGUUUCUUAAGUCUGAUGUGAAAGCCCCCGGCUCAACCGGGGAGGGUCAUUGGAAACUGGGAAACUUGAGUGCAGAAGAGGAGAGUGGAAUUCCACGUGUAGCGGUGAAAUGCGUAGAGAUGUGGAGGAACACCAGUGGCGAAGGCGACUCUCUGGUCUGCAACUGACGCUGAGGAGCGAAAGCGUGGGGAGCGAACAGGAUUAGAUACCCCCGUAGUCCCUGUCUCUUAUAC
rnacentral:rRNA from 1 species